AUGUAGACGCUAGUCUGUCUGACAAUCUUAGAGAUUGGCUCUCAGUUCGUGGUUGUUUGGGGCUCUCAGUUCGUAGUUGUUUGGCGAAUGUGGCGUUGAUACAUACGUGUUUACCGCAGUGUUACGAUAUAUUUUGCCGUUAAAAGUACUGUUAUAUAAAAGAGUUCCAGCUGUUCCGAUUGAUUCCUACAGGUAGUUCCAUAGUGUUGUAAUGGCCGUUCCUCAAAGCGAACUAAAAAUACUGGUUGCUGGAGAUGUUCUUGGACGGUUUGAGCUUCUUUUCGAAAAAGUU